rnacentral:rRNA from 1 species
UACGUAGGGUGCGAGCGUUAAUCGGAAUUACUGGGCGUAAAGCGUGCGCAGGCGGUUCGUUGUGUCGGUGGUGAAAUCCCCGGGCUUAACCUGGGAAUGGCCAUGGAAACUGGCGAACUGGAGUGUGGCAGAGGGGGGUGGAAUUCCGCGUGUAGCAGUGAAAUGCGUAGAGAUAUGGAAGAACAUCGAUGGCGAAGGCAACCCCCUGGGCUAACACUGACGCUCAGGCACGAAAGCGUGGGGAGCAAACAGG